AAAUCAUGGGAAAUCUAGUCUGGGGUCCCAGUGUUUCCACGGUAACAGUGAACAUUGCAUCACUGGUUGUUGUUGGUUCUGGUCCAGUAUGUUUAGACCAUACAGUCCAGUUGGUACCGGUCCGGUAUAUUUAGACCAUGCAGUCCAGUUGGUACUGGUUCAGUAUAUUCAGAACAUGCAGCCCAGCUGGUUCCGGUCUGGCGGAUGGGGGGUUGUUGUGGUUUAAUGGUUCGAUGUUUGUUAUUGUUCUGCAGAUGUCAGUGGUAAAAGAAGCGGUUCCCCCUGAGCAGCAGAACCGGACCUCCAAUCUGGGCCAGGAGGAACCAGAACUUCUCAACAUCAAAGAGGAGGAACUGUGGACCAAUCAGGAGGUUCUGACAGAGGUGGAUUCGACCCAGUUCCUAGUGAAGAGUGAGGAUGAUGAAGACCAACCUCAGUCGUCACAGCUCCAUCGAAGACAGACUGAGCAGAACCGAGAGGGUCCAGACGGAUCAGAACCAGCCUCCAUCUUCCAUCCACAUCCUGAUGAACACACUGAGGAAUCUGAGGACACCGAGGACAGCGAAGACUGGACCCAGAGCAGUGGACCCGAGUCCACCAACAACACCAAACCUUCAGGCAGCCGUUCAGCUGGACCCACGGAACCAGAACCUGUGAAUGUAGUUGACACAGACAGUAACAUUCGAAAUAAUGACCUGAGUGGAAGAGAAGAGGGAGGGAAAAUGAAACCACAUCACUGCUCUGAAUGUGGGAAAACAUUUAGUCAGUGGUCCAAUUUGAAAAGACACAUGAGAACUCACACGGGAGAGAAACCAUUUGGUUGUUCCUAUUGUAAUACGAGGUUUACUCAAAAGUCAAGCUUAGAUAUUCACAUGAGAAUCCACACAGGAGAGAAACCCUUCAGAUGUUUGGAUUGUAACAAAUGUUUCAGCCAAAUAGGUAACUUUAGGACACAUAUGGCAGCUCACAAAGGACAGAAACACUUUGGCUGUUCAGUAUGUGGUAAAAGAUUUUCUCAAAAGUCAGAGUUACGUUAUCACAGUAGAGGACACACAGGAGAGAAACCAUUUUACUGUAAAGUAUGCGACGCAGUAUUCGCUCGAAAAUCUAUCUUAGACGUUCACAGUCGAGUCCACACAGGAGAGAAACCCUACAGCUGCUCGGUCUGUAAGAAAUGUUUCAGCCAAAAAUGUAAUUACAGGAGGCAUAUGGCAACUCACACAGGAGAGAAACUCUUUGGUUGUUCAGUGUGUGGGAAAAGAUUUGCAGAUAAGUCAACUUUAGAUACUCACCGUCGAGUUCACACGGGGGAGAAACCGUUCUGUUGUUCAGUUUGUAACAAAAGCUUUAGCCAAAAAAGCCACGUUCAGACACAUAUGAAGACCCAUGAAAGACAGGAAACACUGAGGUCAUGUGUUGGUGAUGCUGAGUGAAAAACACAGAACUGGGAAUGAAGGUUGUGGAAUGAACAGCAGGACUGUUUAGAAUGUUCUGAGCAGUGCAUUCGAAAGUGCAUGUGUGGUUUUACCAGGUCUGUACUGUGAUACCAUUCAUACUGAACCUUAAAGAGGAACGAUGUAAGUUUGGACCGUUCUGGUUCUUCCUCACUGUUUUAGUAUCAUUUUUCUCUAUGGAGCGCCCCCUACAGUUUGGACAUACAUAUUGACUGUGGUAAAACCCACCCCUAACCUCGCCCCCUCCGACCAUGUGCAUUUGUUUUCAUAAACAAUGUAUACAAAUAUCAAUCAUCAAAAGGUGUAGUAGGGUCGCAUAAGAAAAUAAAACCACCAGUCACUAUGAGAAUAAAGUUGUAAACUAGAAAAGCACUCCCCCCUGAUCACCACCAAAAUUUAAUCAUUUGUUCCU